GCACCUAUGUCCUAAUGGAUAAGGCGCUUGACUUCUAAUCAAGUGAUUGUGGGUUUGACUCCCACUAGGUGUA
rfam:Ipomoea nil DNA, scaffold: scaffold2647, cultivar: Tokyo-kokei standard.